UUACAAGUUGGCUUGAAGUUUUUACCUAUAUUAUGUAGAUGAUGAUAUUACUAUCUGGAAUAAAGAUUUUGAUCCAAAACUCGUAGAAGAGCAAUUAAGGCAUAUGACCUCACAUUAAAGCAGCAGCAAUUGAGCCAAAGCGAAGUACAUUUUCUAGACCACUUGUAGUAAUCAAAGCCUUAUUAUAAGUGAGAAAUAAGGCUUUGAUUACUACAGUUCUCUUAUACUUUACUCCCUCACAGUUACUCCCUUUACAGUUCACCUUUUACCCCUUCACCUUUACAGUUACUCCCUCUUAUGAGCCUGUGAUUAUUUCAAGUUGGUCCCUAGACCUGUUUGCCCUUAAAAAAUUGCAUUUUAUUUUUAUUUUAAAAGGGCUACCAUCUAUACAACAGAAUGCCAUGAUUUAGAAACAGAGCUGGAGUACAUCUACAGCAUUGGGGCCUUACAUGGUUACACUAGAGGGUUUUUAAAUCUAUCUACAGUAAGGUCAAGAAAGAUGUUAAUACGCCAGUAGUUAAGCUGCCGAACAAUACUGAAUAUGAGUUGAUACCGUUCGCUAUGAGCAAGUACAGAACUGUCAAAGAGUUAGCUAGGAAAGGUACUAAGAAGAUUACCUUUAAAAGAUACCACACUCUUUACGAACACCUAAGGAAUGAUAAAGAUAGAAGAAAAGAGGGACAAAAAGCAGGGAUGUACAAGAUUCCCACUGUAAUUAACACAAAGAAUAAAGAGGAGGCAUAUAUCAGUGUUAUGUCUAGGCUAUUGGAGGUAAGUUGCAGGAGCACAAGAAAGACUUGGCUAAAGGUAAAUUGUGCACAGCUUUAGUGAGAAGUGCUUUUGAGAAUGACAUUAUAGUGAAAUGGCCUGAAGCGCAAGUCAUACAAACUAUUACAAAAGAAAAACAUGCCACCACAGCUGAAGCUAUUGAAAUCUAUACAAGAGCAGAGCGUGAUUGUCUUCUAAAUGACCAUCCUGUGCAGGAAUUGCCGCCAGCAUGGAAGUACCUUCUUAGCAAAGUCGCUUCCUGCUAAAGAGUGCCCAAGAACUUUAUGAACUCUUAUUGUCGCCAUUUAUGGUGCCUUUAAUAUUUAGUGUUUCUGUGUUUAUUUCUGACUUUAUUUAUGAUUUUAAUUCUUAAUAUUAUAUUUUAUUUGCCUUUUUAUUGAUAAUAUUUACCCUCAUUUACAUAUUAUGUUCAUUUGUUUCUAUAGUUACACUUUUACGUUUGUUCUAAAGAUGUUUACGUUCU
rnacentral:lncRNA from 1 species